rnacentral:lncRNA from 1 species
ACUUAAUGAAAUCAUAUCUCCAUGUUCCUCUUCUCCUUCUCGUCUCUCAGUUCCAAUCUGCCCCGGUGUUUUCCUGCAGUCGACCAGAACCAGCAGUAAAGUACGGUUUUAUGGCAGACUACACCUAUUGGCGUAUUGCCGCCACCUACUGUACGGCGGGUGAACAACAAUUAAAAAUAUCCAUCCAAACUAUUUCUAUCGUAGGUAAAGAAUUCAUGACUUCUCUCCAUAAUUGUGUCAAAUGUUCAUGAAUUUGUUCCAUUAUAAAUCUACUCAUGUCUUGCGACAGAUUCUUUACAUGAAUACCAUAAAAAUAAAAAUCCAACACUGUUUCUGGGUGGUCAUUAGAAUUGGUUCAAUUUUUUAUUUUUUUAUUUCACCUUUAUUUAACCAGGUAAGCUAGUUGAGAACAAGUUCUAAUUUUCAACUGCGACCUGGCCAAGAUAAAGCAAAGCAGUGCGACAGAAACCACAACACAGAGUUACACAUGGAAUAAACAAGCGUAGUCAAUAACACAAUAGAAAGAAAAGAAAGUCUAUAUACAGUGUGUGCAAAUGGCAUGAGGAGGUAAGGCAAUAAAUAGGCCAUAGUAGCAGAGUAAUCACAAUUCAGCAGAUUAACACUGGAGUGAUAGAUGAGCAGAUAAUGAUGAGCAGAUGACGGUGUGUAAGUAGUGAUACUGGUGUGCAAAAGAGCAGCAAAGUAAAUAAAACAAUAUGGGAAUGAGGUAGGUAGAUUGGGUGGGCUAUUUACAGAUGGACUAUGUACAGCUGCAGCGAUUGGUUAGCUGCUCAGAUAGCUGAUGUUUAAAGUUAGUGAGGGAAAUGUAAGUCUCCAGCUUCAGCGAUUUUUGCAAUUCGUUCCAGUCACUGGCAGCAGAGAACUGGAAGGAAAGGCGGCCAAAGUAGGUGUUGGAUUUGGGGAUGACCAGUGAGAUAUACCUGCUGGAGCGCGUGCUACAGGUGGGUGUUUUUAUCGUGACCAGUGAGCUGAGAUAAGACAGAGCUUUACCUUGCAUAGACUUAUAGAUGACCUGGAGCCAGUGGGUCUGGCGACGAAUAUGUAGCAAGGGCCAGCCGACUAGAGCAUACAGGUCGCAGUGGUGGGUGGUAUAAGGGGAUUUAGUAACAAAACGGAGGGCACUGUGAUAGACUACAUCCAAUUUGCAAAGUAGAGUAUUGGAAGCUAUUUUGUAGAUGACAUCGCCGAAGUUGAGGGUGUCGAUAGAAUGGUCAGUUUUACUAGGGUAAGUUUGGCGGCGUGAGUGAAGGAGGCUUUGUUGCAAAAUAGAAAGCCCAUUCUAGAUUUGAUUUUGGAUUGGAGAUGUUUAAUAUGAGUCUGGAAGGAGAGUUUACAGUCUAGCCAGACACCUAGGUAUUUGUAGUUGUCCACGUAUUCUAGGUCAGAACCGUCCAGAAUUGUGAUGGUAGUUGGGCGGGCGGGUGCGGGCAGCGAACAGUUGAAAAGCAUGCAUUUGGUUUUACUAGCGUUUAAGAGCAGUUGG